GAUGAACGCUGGCGGCGUGCCUAAUACAUGCAAGUCGAGCGAAUGGAUUGAGAGCUUGCUCUUAUGAAGUUAGCGGCGGACGGGUGAGUAACACGUGGGUAACCUGCCCAUAAGACUGGGAUAACUCCGGGAAACCGGGGCUAAUACCGGAUAACAUUUUGAACCGCAUGGUUCGAAAUUGAAAGGCGGCUUCGGCUGUCACUUAUGGAUGGACCCGCGUCGCAUUAGCUAGUUGGUGAGGUAACGGCUCACCAAGGCAACGAUGCGUAGCCGACCUGAGAGGGUGAUCGGCACCACUGGGACUGAGACACGGCCCAGACUCCUACGGGAGGCAGCAGUAGGGAAUCUUCCGCAAUGGACGAAAGUCUGACGGAGCAACGCCGCGUGAGUGAUGAAGGCUUUCGGGUCGUAAAACUCUGUUGUUAGGGAAGAACAAGUGCUAGUUGAAUAAGCUGGCACCUUGACGGUACCUAACCAGAAAGCCACGGCUAACUACGUGCCAGCCGCCGCAGUAA
rnacentral:rRNA from 1 species